rnacentral:lncRNA from 1 species
CGGAGCAGCGCGUAACUAGGGAGAGGAUAGGCCGGGCUGGUGGAGAUGCGGGGAGAGACCAGCCAAAGCUAAAGAGCCAAAGCAAAGGCAACUACAUUGUCGGCACUGCCCUAGGCUCCAGGGCCACAGAGACAACCAUAGCUUCAGCCUCCUGCUCCGAAUGACAUCUCUCAGAAAUCUUCCCUGACUGUCCAGGCGGAAUUAAUGGUUCACUUCCCUGUUCCUCUAUACCUUGAGCAUCCCUCUACAAUUGAAUGCUCCUUCAUUCCAUUUCAUUGCACCAGCAUGUAUCGAGGGUCUACUGUUAUCUAUCGCUGAAGAGAAUGAUUGCAAAAAACUUGAAUGAACAUGGAAAAUGCUGAUGAUCAGAUUUCCAUUGAAAAGAAAGGUGUGCUCCUUGGGGUGGGGGUGUUGUUGUAAUUGUCAGAAAAUGUUUAAUAAAAGAAACAGAAAUAACAAUAAUCUUGUUAGCAUAAUUGUGAGUGAACUUUUGCUCUUUUUUAAUUCUCAAAAAUACCCUAAACAUCAUGUUUCACGGUCUUUACAAAAACACCACCACAGAAACAACAGAAGCCUCCGGGCCUGAGGUGUCAUACUGGGUAUGGCCACAUGGUGUCCCUCCAGCUCAGUCUAAACCUUCCAGACUACAGUCUUCCAACAGUCUCCGCUUCGCCCAGCAGCCGGGGCUAGUCCGAGCCGAGCGAACCCUAAGCUACGGGAACCAGCUUCUUGGUGCUGUCCCAAGAGUGGAGAGGAGACAGAUGAACGUUUCUCAGGCUAGAGGAAGGCGGUUUAUUUGCUUCCAAGGGUUCCAGUAGACAGUUCUGACACGAAAUUUCGUUGUGGAGGGAACUUUUAAGACUGUGUGAAGGGAGGGAAUGGGAAGGGUUUAGAUUUGCAUAGUAGGUGGGCAGCUUUGUGGCGGUUGGGAGGAGGUUUGGAUGACUUGAGAGAGACCAGGAAAAAAGCUGGAGUCCGGACUGAGGAACGGAAGGAUACGGAGUUUUUUUGUAGGCGAGGAUAUGAACAAGGAAGUACAUCACCCUCAGUGCUGUUGGCAGCCUUCCUGUGACCAUGAGGAGAGUCAGCUUCAAGAUGAUCCUUUGGAUAAAAGAGCAAAGAAUCAGAAAGAUCCUGGUUCCUUGAUGACUUCAACAAGCCAUUAGGUCAAUCAACAUCCUGAAAUUUGCUCUAUUUCUGGAUUCUAGUUAGGUGAGUCCAUACAUCCUCAUGUUUCAAACACAUUUAUUUUGUCCUCUUAUUGUGGUGGUUUUAAAAUAUGAAUACACAUUUUUUUCAUGUUCCUCCUUUAAAAAAGUGGAGCCUAAUUUUCCCCUACACUUAAGUGUGGGCUUGUCUUAGUGAUUUUUUUGUAAAGCAUAGAGAAUAUGGCAGAAGUGACAGUGAGUGACUUCUGGGAUUAGGACACAAAGGCAUUGUGUCUUCCUCCUUGCUUUCUCUAUUGUAUCACUGACUCUGGAGGAAGUCAGCUGCUGUGUCAUGAGGGCACUCAAACAGCCCUAUGAAGAGGUCCAUGUGGUAAGGAACUGAGGACUUCUGCCAACAGCCAGCAAUAACUUGCCAGGUAUGUGAAUGUGCCAUCUUGGAAGCAAGUUCUCCAACUCCAGACAAGCUCUCUAAUAACUGUGGCCCCAGCUGACAUCUUGGCUGCAACCCCACGAGGGAAUCUGAGCCAGCACCACCAAGCUAAGCCACUCCUAAAUUCCUGACUUGCAGAAAAUGUGUGAAAAUAAAUGUCUAUUGUUUUAAGCCA